GACGAACGCUGGCGGCGUGCUUAACACAUGCAAGUCGAACGGAAAGGCCCUGCUUUUGUGGGUUGCUCGAGUGGCGAACGGGUGAGUAACACGUGAGUAACCUGCCCUUGACUUUGGGAUAACUUCAGUAAACUCGGUCUAAUACCGGAUAGGAGCUCCUGCUGCAUGGUGUGGUUUGUAAAGUUUCGGCGGUUCGGGAUGGGCUCGCGGCUUAUCAGCUUGUUGGUGGGGUAGUGGCUUACCAAGGCUUUGACGGGUAGCCGGCCUGAGAGGGUGACCGGCCACAUUGGGAUAGAGAUACGGCCCAGACUCCUACGGGAGGCAGCAGUGGGGAAUAUUGCACAAUGGGCGGAAGCAUGAUGCAGCAACGCCGCGUGCGGGAUGACGGCCUUCGGGUUGUAACCCGCUUUCGCCUGUGACGAAGCGUGAGUGACGGUAAUGGGUAAAGAAGCACCGGCUAACUACGUG
rnacentral:rRNA from 1 species